GUUAAUGUGUAGCGAAACAGAGUGUGUGUCAGUAUAGUGGAUGCAGUGAGUGUGUUAGUGUGUAGUGUAUACAGAGUGUAUGUUGUAUUAGUGUAUGCAGUGUGUGUGUUGUGUUAGUGUAUGCAGUGUGUGUGUUGUGUUAGUGUAUGCAGUGUGUUGUGUUAGUGUAUGUAGUGUGUGUUGUGUUAGUGUAUGCAGUGUGUGUGUUGUUAG